CGAAAGCCCAAGGUUUCCGCACCCACGUUCGUCGUGUGCGGGUUAGGCGAUCCUAAGGUCAGUCCAGUUUAAGCUGGAGUAGCCGAUGGAUUACUGGUUAAUAUUCCAGUCCUUGGUUAGAAUCGUUUGACUUGGGGAGUGACAACAUUGGAUAGGAUGAGUGGAGAUAUGAAUUCUCCAUCUAAGCGUCAAAGCAGGUCUCUAUUGGCAAAUCCGAGAGGCCGUUUAUCUGAGGCGUUAUGGGAUUAUUCACUACGGUGGAUAGUUUCGUUUGACUUCAAUGUUCUGGAAAAGCUUCGCAAGGAGAUUUUAAUCAAAUCGUACCGAUAACCGACACUGGUGGGCAGGUCGAGAAGACUAAGGAGAGCGAGAGAAAGUAGCUUAAGGAAUUAGGCAAAUCAGCUGGGCGUAAUUUAGAAAGAUGCCCUCCUUUCUGCUUGACUUUGGUGAUCAUUUUUGGUCGCUAGAGCCAAGUAGAAAGGCGCAGUGAAUGAUAUGGGAUGGACUGUUUAUCAAAAACACAGGUCUGUGCAAACUCGUAAGAGGAAGUAUACGGGCUGAAGCCUGCCCAGUGCCGGAAGGUUAACUGCGUGGGUGUAGAGAGCAAUCUCUAUGCUUGCAAUGGAAGCCCCGGUGAACGGCAGCAGUAACUAUAACUGUUCUAUGGUAGCGAAGUACCUUGUCGCUUAAUUGGCGACGCGCACGAAAGGUUUAACCAGUCCCAUGCUGUCUUGAGCUGCUACUCGGUGAAGUUGAAAUGGCUGUGAAGAUGCGGCCUACUGGUGGAAGGACAAAAAGACCCCAUGAAGCUUUACUACAACUUGACACUGAUUUUUUGUAAUGGAUUGUCUAGAAUAGGCGGGAGACAUAUUUAUAUGUCGCCAGUGUAAUACCGCUCGUCUGUUACAAAAAAUCUCACUGAAGUUAACUGCAAACGUUAACCAGGACCCUGUUUGGUGGGUAGUUUAACUGGGGAGGUUGCUUGCUAAAGAGUAACGCAAGCGCGCAAUGGUACCCUUAACCUGGAUGGAAAUCAGGUUGGACGUGCAAUAGCAUAUGGGUGCUUAACUGUGAGGCCUACAAGCCGAGCAGAUGCGAAAGCAGGUUAUAGUGAUCCUCGAAUACUUUGUGGAAAGUAUCGGGCUUAUCGGAUAAAAGCUACUCUGGGGAUAACAGAGUCAUAGUGCCUAAGCGUUCCUAGCGUCGGCACUGUUUGCUACCUCGAUGUCGGCUCAUCGCAUCCUGGGGCUGUAGAAGGUCCCAAGGGUUAGUCUGUUCGCCUAUUAAAGCGGUACGCGAGCUGGGUUCAGACCGUCGUGAGACAGGUCGGCUUCUAUCCUCCAUCAGCGUUAGAAAUUUGAGGAAGUUUGUCCCUAGUACGAGAGGACCGGGAUGAGGAAACCCCUAGUGUUCCUGUUGUUGCUGUCAAGCGCAUUGCAGGGUAGCUACGUUUCUUGUGGAUAACCGCUGAAAGCAUCUAAGCGGGAAACCCUAUCCAAGAUUAAAUUUCUCCAUUAGACCCCUGGGAGACUACCAGGUAUAUAGGUGAGAGGUGUAAGUCUGGUGACAGAUUUAGCUUACUCAUACUAAGUUGUCGAUUGAACAUAAUAA
rnacentral:rRNA from 1 species